rnacentral:lncRNA from 1 species
AGUCACAGCCAGGACAGGAAUGUCACCCCCAGCUGGCAGACAGCACUCUGAGCAGCCAGGCCUGGGAUCCUCUGACCUGCCCACUUCAGGAGGCCAGUGUGGUCACUGCCACCCCACGGUCUGGGGACCCUGGACUCCAAACUUGUAAGUGCUAGAGUGGGCAGCUGGAGGCCAUCUGGGCACUUUAAAACACAGGUACUCGGGAACAAACCUCUGAUGGGGUGGGUGGGGUGAGGGAUGGGGGACCUUGGGUCCCAGGCCCUCUGUGAUUUUCUGAUGAACUUCCUUCUGUGGGAGCGCUGGCUCAGGGAGCUCCUGGCCUCUCCUCCUCUACCACUUCCUCCGCCACCCGCCUCCACCUGCUCCCGGCCUGAUGUCCGCAGGGUCAUGUGUGCAGUAGUCCCACGUCCAGGCUCACUGCAGAGGCAGCCCUCUUCAGACAGGAGGCAGAAGAGAGGGCCCCCGCAAGUUAGCUUUUACUUUAAUAUUAUUAUGUCAUUAUGUGUAUUAUUAUUGUCAUCAACAUCUUUUUAUUCUGCAAAUACUAAUUUCAUAUCCCAUAUGGGCAGGCUCUGUGCAAGGUAAAUUACUAAGUUUUGUUAAUGAAGUCAAACAAAGUCAUGGGUUCUAUAAGAAGACAACUAUUUUAAAAUAUGGCAUAAAUGACAUUAUAUAGUUAAGAUAGUAUAAAGACACGACUUGGAACAAGCAAACGUGGGAACAAGGCAAGGAGAACGUGUAGCUUCCUUUUGGAGUGCUCAUACUAAUUGCUGAUGAAACAUUUCUGCACUCGGCAGGGAAUCAGUCCACAGCCCCCCUCUGAUUAAAAUGCGACCCAGCUUGGACUCUGAGAGCAAAUGUCCCAGCGACCCUGGGAAGAAGUGAUGCAAUCCUCUCUUUGCGCUGUUUAUCAUUUCUGAGAAGCAAUGACAUAGCUGCCUCUUGCAGUUUGGUCUAAUUACUUGUCUGAUCUCCCCCAGGGAGAAGCAGCUCUGUUCUCCCUUGGCCUCCAGACAGUGGGGCCCACAGUCUCUACUGGAGGAGUGGGGCCGGCCAUCGUGGGCAGGGGAGGUGGAGACCCCUUGAAGCUGAUCUGUAUUGCAGGGUGUGGAGUAGGGCUGGGGGUUCCUGGGCCUCUAAUCUUUAAAAUCCAGCAAGAAGGUAGUGUACUGUGAGCCAGGCCCAUCAUUCUCUUUCCUCCCUGAAACCAUCGAUGAGUCUUCCCCUAAGGGCUGGAGGGGAGGGUCCCCUUUCUUUGACUUCCCUUGCAGUUCCUCUGAUGCUGAAGAGUAGGGCUUGCAGGGACUCUGCCUCCUGCAGGGAGCAGCCACUGUUUCCAGGGACCCUCACAGAAGAGGAGCUAAUUUCACACUUUGGGACUCCAUAGAAGCCAGCUUCCUGGCAGUUUGAAGUGUGCUUCUCACACAUCUUCCACCAGCUUGUUUGUCUGCCUAUAUCUGAGGAUCCUUUAAAGCGAUUGAAACAAAAUUAAGGGCAGAAUGAAUCUUUGGUGAUGAAAGUGAGAAUCUGGGAGAGAUGUGAAAACUGGAAGAGAAACAGGAAGUACCUCCAGGAUUCACCUAAAUAGAUGCUGCGGUUUCUAUCAAACCACAGGCCACCCCAGCAUCUCAGUGGCUUCUAUAGGUUGUCCUGAAAGAGCCAUGAGGCCAGGGCCCUUGAUGGAUUCCCAGAUACCAGCUGCUCCUCCAGACACCAAUUCCACCCUCCACCUUUCUGUGUCCGUCCCAGACCAAGGCAGCCCAGCCACCAAAUUCCCGCCUUAGCUGCAGGACGGACCCCAACCAAGAGCAGCCGCUAAGAUGGCCGGGGAGUGAGAAAAGCCUCAUUUCUUUAAUAAAGCUGCUGCGCUCAGCCUUGAACACCCUCCCGACCUUGGGGCUCUGCUGCCCCACGCGGAGCCCCCAUUUCAACAGAUGCAGACACCCCAAAGCCCCUUCCCAACAGCCCGAAGAGAAGCCCUCCUCUGAAGAGACAGCAGAGAAGCAGAGCCCCCUGGGACGCCCCCCAAGACCUCCACGUCUCCCCAGCACCCGGCGGGGGGGUGGUGCAUGCACUUCCCGUGGCUGCGGGAACAAACUGCCACACACAGGGAGGCUGAACACAGCAGAAGUCUAUUCCACACAGUCCUAGAAGCCAGAGGCAGUGACAUCAAGGUGCUGGACGGCCGCCCUCCCAUCGGAGGCUCUGGGAAGAAUCUGUUCCUUCCUCUUCCAGCUUCCACGACUCAGGGCAGCACCCCUGUAACCUCUGCCUCCAUGGUGAUAUCGCUUCCCCUCUUCUGUGUCAAAUGUCCCCCUGCGUCCCUCUUCACCAGAAUAAUCCCCUCAUCUCAAGUGCCUUAAUUUAAUCACACCUGCAAAGUGUUUGCCGCGUAAAGUAACAAUUACAGUUUCCAGAGAUUAAAACCUGUUAUGUUUGGAGGCCAUUAUUCUACCUACAGAGAGGGGUUGGCUUAGGACACCCAUUCUUGUUGCCGGGUAAAGCUGCCCGGGGGGCCUGGAGGAAGCCUGCUCUGUCUCUUUCAGCCCCCACAGGUACCCCAAGGGGGCCGCCACUGAGGUCCUCGGGCUCUGAUCCAAGUGUGAAGUGAGAGCAAGUUCACUCCUUUCCCUGCUGGCUCUGACACAAGUUUUCCGUGUGGCCAGGGAUGGGUGUGAGCAGCCCAGAGCAGGGGCCGGCCCA